rnacentral:rRNA from 1 species
UACGUAGGCAGCGAGCGUUGUUCGGAAUUACUGGGCGUAAAGAGUGUGUAGGCGGUGCUCUAAGUUCGGUGUGAAAUCUCCUGGCUCAACUGGGAGGGUGCGCCGGAAACUGGAGUGCUUGGAGCGUGGGAGAGGAAAGCGGAAUUCCUGGUGGUAGCGGUGAAAUGCGUAGAUAUCAGGAGGAACACCGAUGGCGGAAGGCAGGUCUCUGGGCCAACUACUGACGC